rnacentral:rRNA from 1 species
UACAGAGGGUGCAAGCGUUAUCCGGAUUUAUUGGGCGUAAAGCGUUUCGUAGGUUUUCAGAUAAGUUAAUUUUCAAAGACCACGGCUCAACCGGGGGAAGGGAGUUAAUACUAUCUGGAUUGAAAUAUGGUGGGGCUUCCGGAACUGAUGGUGUAGUAGUGAAAUACGUUGAUAUCAUCAGGAACUCCGAGGGCGAAGGCAGGAAGCUAACCAUUUUUUGACACUGAGGAACGACAGCUAGGGGAGCGAAAGGG